rnacentral:rRNA from 1 species
GACAGAGGCCUCAAGCGUUAGGCGGAAUCACUGGGCUUAAAGCGUGUGUAGGCGGAUCGUUAAGUGCCUUGUGAAAUCCCACGGCUUAACUGUGGAACGGCUGGGCAUACUGGCGGUCUUGAGCCAUCUAGGGGCGACUGGAACAAACGGUGGAGCGGUGAAAUGCGUAGAGAUCGGGAAGAACGCCAAGGGCGAAGGCACUCUGCUAGGCCUGAUUUCGCGACUGACACUCAGGGACGAGAGCCAGGGGAGCGAAUGGG